rnacentral:rRNA from 1 species
AUUGAACGCUGGCGGCAGGCCUAACACAUGCAAGUCGAACGGUAACAGGAAGAUUCUUGCUUCUUUGCUGGCGAGUGGCGGGCGUGUGGGUAAUGUCUGGGAAACUUCCUGAUGGAGGGGGAUAACUACUGGAAACGGUAACUAAUACCGCAUAGAGUCGCAAGACCAAAGAGGGGGGGCUUCGGGCCUCUUGCCUUCGGCUGUGCCCAGAUGGGAUUAGCUAGUAGGUGGGGUAAAGGCUCACCUAGGCGACGAUCCCUACCUGGUCUGAGAGGAUGACCAGCCACACUGGAACUGAGACACGGUCCAGACUCCUACGGGAGGCAGCAGUGGGGAAUAUUGCACAAUGGGCGAAAGCCUGAUGCAGCCAUGCCGCGUGUGUGAAGAAGGCCUUCGGGUUGUAAAGUACUUUCAGCGGGGAGGAAGGGAGUUAAGUUAAUACCUUUCCUCAUUGACGUUACCCGCAGAAGAAGCACCGGCUAACUCCGUG